rnacentral:rRNA from 1 species
GGGAAGCUAAGCCGCGAGGUGGAGCAAAACCCAAAAAAGCAGUCUCAGUUCGGAUUGAAGGCUGAAAUUCGCCUUCAUGAAGCCGGAAUUGCUAGUAAUGGCAGGUCAGCAUACUGCCGUGAAUACGUUCCCGGGCCUUGUACACACCGCCCGUCACACCAUGAGAGUUGGCAAUACCCAACGUACGUGAUCUAACCCGCAAGGGAGGAAGCGUCCUAAGGUAGGGUCAGCGAUUGGGGUGAAGUCGUAACAAGGUAGC